CAGAGAGAAGCAGCUUCCUGGGCAUACAUAUUAAGAGACAAAAAUGAUGAAGUAUGAUCUUCCCAGAUCACUCCUCUGGAAAAAGGAAGAAAACCUCAGAUGGGCAUGCAUACAAAGCCCAAACACACUGCAUGUGCUGAAUUCCCAAAGGUUGCAGUGGAAUGGUCCAAUCACAGCUUACUGCAGCCUCAACCUCCUAGACUCAAGCAAUCCUUCCACCCCAGCCUCCUGAGGAGCUGAGAUCACAAGUGUGUGCCAUUACAUUUUUACAUUGUUUUCUAUGGAAGAAGAUUGCUCACAAUAAUAAUAGCUAUAGCAGAAGCCUCAGCAGCAAAUAUUUUCUGUUCAAAAGGAUUGGCUGCCUCCAUCCCUCCUGCCCAGUUUCAGGAAGGAAACUGUGGACAAUGUGGAAUGUUACAUAUGUGACCAGAAGAUAAAUUUACAGUAAUGUUUGGGUUUCUACCCCUUCCUCACUCUUUCCCUACCUCCAGGUAAGCAAUCCUAAGGGAUGCUUUUCUAAAGUACCCAGUGGAUUCCCCAGAGUUUGCAAGGUACUUAACUGCAGGUGUGUGUGUGUGUGUGUGUGUGUGUGUGUGUAUGUGUGUGUGUCUGUACAGGGCUACUCUGUGCACUACAUCACUAGGUACGCUGAUUUUGGGCUUUUGAAAUCAUUGUACCCAGCAGAGCCUUAUCUCCUUAGAGCCACCUCAUCUUAAGGCUGAGCAGCUGAUGGACCAGCUAAAAUGUCAUACUUUGCCAUCUUUAGUUUGACAAACACUAGCUUUUUGUUUUGUU
rnacentral:lncRNA from 13 species